rnacentral:rRNA from 1 species
GUGGGGAAUUUUGGACAAUGGGCGAAAGCCUGAUCCAGCAAUGCCGCGUGCAGGAUGAAGGCCUUCGGGUUGUAAACUGCUUUUGUACGGAACGAAAAGCUUCGGGUUAAUACCCUGGAGCCAUGACGGUACCGUAAGAAUAAGCACCGGCUAACUACGUGCCAGCAGCCGCGGUAAUACGUAGGGUGCAAGCGUUAAUCGGAAUUACUGGGCGUAAAGCGUGCGCAGGCGGUUUUGUAAGACAGAGGUGAAAUCCCCGGGCUCAACCUGGGAACUGCCUUUGUGACUGCAAGGCUGGAGUACGGCAGAGGGGGAUGGAAUUCCGCGUGUAGCAGUGAAAUGCGUAGAUAUGCGGAGGAACACCGAUGGCGAAGGCAAUCCCCUGGGCCUGUACUGACGCUCAUGCACGAAAGCGUGGGGAGCAAACAGGAUUAGAUACCCUGGUAGUCC